UUCCCCCCUGCAGUCAGUUUUGCAAUUUUGUGUCAGGACCCUCUGAACUACUGAGGACUCUUCUUCUGCUUCCUGCUUCCUCCCCCCCCCCCCCCCGAAGUGUUUGAGAAACUCUUCAAACUAGUAUUACUUUUAUAUUCUGAAACUGGGAGGUUUUCCGUUUCAUUUCUGCCCAUUUGCAUAACUUACCCUGUGACUUGAUUUUUCAUUUCGCUUGUGGGCUGCGUUACUGAAAUCAGUGCUAAGUGGACUGAUUUUGUUUUGUCGUGUUUUAAUAAAAAUGUCGUUGC